UACAGAGGUCCCAAGCGUUGUUCGGAUUCCCUGGGCGUAAAGGGUGCGUAGGCGGUCGGGUAAGUCUGAUGUGAAAUCUCACAGCUUAACUGUGAAACUGCAUUGGAUACUAUCCGGCUAGAGGAAUGGAGGGGAGACUGGAAUACUUGGUGUAGCAGUGAAAUGCGUAGAUAUCAAGUGGAACACCAGUGGCGAAGGCGAGUCACUGGACAUUUCCUGACGCUGAGGCACGAAAGCCAGGGGAGCAAACGGG
rnacentral:rRNA from 1 species